rnacentral:piRNA from 1 species
UGGUCUCUGCUCCCGUGAAUCCUAGCU